GAGCGAAGCGGGAAGAGCUCAAAUUUAUAAUCUGGCACCUUCGGUGUCCGAGUUGUAAUCUCUAGAAAUGUUUUCCGCGUUGGACCGCACACAAGUCUGUUGGAAUACAGCGGCAUAGUGGUGAGACCCCCGUAUAUGGUGCGGACGCCCAGCGCUUUGUGAUACAUUUUCGAAGAGUCGAGUUGUUUGGGAAUGCAGCUCAAAUUGGGUGGUAAAUUCCAUCUAAAGCUAAAUAUUGGCGAGAGACCGAUAGCGAACAAGUACCGUGAGGGAAAGAUGAAAAGCACUUUGGAAAGAGAGUUAACAGUACGUGAAAUUGUUGGAAGGGAAACGCUUGAAGUCAGACUUGCUUGCCGAGCAAUCGGUUUGCAGGCCAGCAUCAGUUUUCCGGGAUGGAUAAUGGUAGAGAGAAGGUAGCAGUUUCGGCUGUGUUAUAGCUCUCUGCUGGAUACAUCUUGGGGGAUCUGAGGAACGCAGUGUGCCUUUGGCGGGGGUU
rnacentral:rRNA from 1 species